rnacentral:rRNA from 1 species
ACCCGACUCCGUGAAGCUGGAUUCGCUAGUAAUCGCGCAUCAGCCAUGGCGCGGUGAAUACGUUCCCGGGCCUUGUACACACCGCCCGUCAAGCCAUGGAAGCCGGGGGUGCCUGAAGUGUGCAGCCGCAAGGAGCGCCCUAAGGUAAAACCGGUGACUGGGGCUAAGUCGUAACAAGGUAAC